UAAGCUACACCAUCCAAUUGGUCAGUUGAAGCCCUCGAGAGACUAUAGAGCGCUAGACCUCAAGCCAAAGGGCAACCUCUUUAAAAAAUCUGUUCUUCACUAAUGAGAUGUCUUGGAUGAUCCAAGGGUUAUUUCUGUCCACCAUGAAGAUGCAAGGAGACUACUGUGGCAGCUCCUCCUGUUUAGAGACGCCAAAGCUGUGGAGAACGCAACCAUUUUCUAUUCUGCAGUGCAAAAAGAAUAAAGAAUCCCGCCAUCUCUGAGAAAAGGAACUUCUGAAUGUUCCUGAAUCUUUCAUGAUAACGCUAGUGUGAAGAAGGAUGUUUUUGGUGCGGGAGGUAUCUCAACUCCCAUUUCUCAUGGAAAUAAAACUGGAAAUAGCACCCACAA